rnacentral:miRNA from 14 species
AUGGAAACAGAGAGUGAGCCUUAAAGAUGGGGCUGUUGAUACAAUUUCUCUAUGAAUUGUAGAAAGUUGUUGAUUGAGCAUCGUCAAUAUCCUACUCUUCUA